AUGCAGUCAGCCCAAAGACCACACAGUUGGAAAAACUUAGGUCUAAAUCAAAGACUACUGGUUCUAAUUCUACUUGUCCCUGACUUGGAAAAGUUCUGCAGCUUCUGGAUUCUGUUCCCUCUCCUACAAAACAGAGUAAUUUUCCCAGCUUAUUUUAGAUAUGAGUUGUGCAACUUUAAUCUUCUUUCCAUGUUCCAGCACACCUUCCAUACAGUGUCUUCUUGUCUACCAGGAAAAAAAAAAAGCCCUGUUUCAGCAAGGCCCACAGGGUCUUCUGUUAUUUGGCCUUUGUCUGCCUUUGAAGCUUCAUUGCUUGCCAUCCUAAAGUCACUCCUUAAACUUCUUUAUCUUUAUACAUGCUAUUCUGUCAGUUUUGAAGUUCCUUCCCCUUUUGUUUACCUGGUAAAGUAUUAUUCAAUAUUUGAAACUCAAUGUAAGCAUCGCUUUUGUUGUUGUUGUUGUUGUUGUUGUCGUUUCUAGGGCCACACCUGCAGCAUAUGGAGGUUCCCAGGCUAGGGGUCUAAUUAGAGCUGUAGCCCCCGGCGUACGCCACAGCCAUAGUAACGUGGGAUCCUCGCUGCGUCUGCAACCUACACCACAGCUCACAGCAACGCCAGAUCCUUAACCCACUGAGUGAGGCCAGGGAUUGAACCAGCAACCUCAUGGUUCCUAGUCGGAUUCGCCAACCACUGGGCCACGACAGGAACUCCAGCAUCACUUAUUUAUUUAUUUAUUUACACCGUCAUUUUAGGGCCACACCCGCAACAUAUGGAGGUUCCCAGGCUAGGGGUCAGGUCAGAGCUACAGCUGCUGGCCUUUGCCACAGCCACAGCAAUGCCAGAUCAGAACCGCACAUGCAGCCUGCACCACAGCUCGAGGCAAGUUCGGAUCCUUAACCCACUGAGCGAGGCCAGGGAUUGAACCCACAUCCUCAUGGAUACUAGUUGGAUUGUUUCUGCUAAGCCACAACUGGAGCUCCCUAGCAUUGCUUUUUAUAAAAGCCUUCCUGACACUUGUAUUAGGAUUGUGAACUGGAGAUUGGCACUUGUCAUUUGCCUCUACAAAGAUUGAAUCAUGAGCCUGCAGCUGCUGACCCUCGACAGCCCUUGAAAGGAGCUCAAGGUGGAACUCAGGAGUAGGAGAUCUGUGCUCUGGGAAAACUGGCAGAACAGGUCUUUAGAUAGAUACUUUUAGGAGAAAAUUUUAUGAGCCCAGUUCUGGCAUCCUGUUAUAUCUAGAAAAGCACUAAAAUCCUUCAAAUCUGCUCCUCGUGACUAGCAGUAACCAUCACAAGACUAGUAGUGCCCUUCUGUAAAGUAUGUGCUUGGUUGCAUGUACCUCCCCCUUUACCAAAAUCACGCUUAUGCUGACAUCCACCCCCCAAACCCACCUACCUCUUUGGAGAGGUAUGUCAGAGUUAUCUAAAAUGCCACCUCCUGGGCUAUAGUCCUCAUUUGGCCCCAAAUAAAACUUAACUCUCAACUUUUAGGUUGUACA
rnacentral:lncRNA from 1 species